rnacentral:rRNA from 1 species
UACAGAGGGGGCCAGCGUUAUUCGGAAUUAUUGGGCGUAAAGGGCGCGUAGGCGGCUUUGCGUGUCUUUCGUGAAAUCCCUCGGCUCAACUGAGGACGUGCGGAAGAAACUGCAGGGCUGGAGUCCGGGAGAGGAGGGUGGAAUUCCCAGUGUAGCGGUGAAAUGCGUAGAUAUUGGGAGGAACACCGGUGGCGAAGGCGGGUCUCUGGGCCGAUACUGACGCUGAGGAGCGAAAGCGUGGGGAGCGAACAGG